rnacentral:lncRNA from 1 species
AGAGCGCGAACCCAAACACAGAUCGCCGCUGGGGUCCAAGCGCCCUUCAACUCCGCCCGCUAGUGCCCAAGAUUACCGGGAAGGAAUUCAACGAAUCAGUGGUGAGGUGCCGCCGCCAUGCCUACUACGGGCGGAAAUUUGAGAGAAAGCUUCGCACCGGGGAUUUCAGUCUCCACAUAGUUUUGGAGCCGGACUUUUGAAGAAUGAUUCGUGAAUCCGGAAUGGGUGACAGCGUCAUCACGGCAUUUUAUUGACAGACCAUGGAUUCUUACAGUGCACCAGAGUCAACUCCUAGUGCAUCCUCAAGACCUGAAGAUUACUUUAUAGGUGCCACUCCUCUGCAGAAACGAUUAGAAUCGGUCAGGAAGCAGAGUUCAUUUAUCCUGACUCCACCUCGAAGGAAAAUUCCCCAGUGUUCGCAGUUGCAGGAAGAUGUUGACCCUCAAAAGGUUGCAUUCCUUCUGCAUAAACAGUGGACUUUAUAUAGUUUAACUCCCUUAUAUAAAUUCUCCUAUAGUAAUCUCAAAGAGUAUUCUAGACUUCUCAAUGCUUUUAUUGUUGCUGAAAAGCAAAAAGGACUUGCUGUGGAAGUGGGAGAAGACUUCAACAUCAAAGUGAUUUUUUCUACUCUCCUAGGAAUGAAAGGAACACAAAGGGACCCGGAAGCAUUUCUUGUCCAGAUUGUGUCAAAAUCUCAAUUGCCAUCUGAGAAUAGAGAAGGUAAAGUGCUGUGGACUGGC